CGGGGCGCGCGGCGGGCAGGACUGGCCCCCAGCCCGCGCCCGCCGCCCAGUGCUGCGCACAGCCGGUUUUCGCCGGGAGAUGAAAGACUGGUCUCAAGGGACUCAGGUCAUCGGGACGUGGCGACCCCACACGCUGGCUGCUUAGACCAGCGCGUCCUGGAGGAGUUUCUCCCAAGUCGGCGAUUGAGUUUAUUUAAUGGGGAUGCGGCACAGCGUGACCAGCUUCCCUCCAAUGGCAACAAUGCGGAAAACUGUGGACCACGUCACAGCCGGAACCCUGACACCAGUACAACCAAGUACAAAGCAUCACCCUCACCGGGUGCCCACUCCCAGCCACGCUCCGGGCCCUCGAGCAGCAGUUUUAACGUCUUGUCCAGCGUUUAUGGUUGUGAUCUUCGGGAGGACCGGCUCCGGGGAGGGGCUGCUCUGCACAAGCGGAACCUGCUCCUCUCUGUGGGUGUGUUACGGAAGUUUCCACAUUUCUUCACCUGUGGAAAGCUUCCCCCCAGUUUUUCCUUUAUCUAUCAUGUUUAUUCCCACGAAGAGUUUAAAAAGUGUGACACAGUUAAUUUUAUCCGCCCUUCUCUCAGUGCCUCUGGAUUUUGUAUCCAGAGGUGUCCAGGUCUGCUCAGAGCAGUCUUCUUCAUCCCAAGAUCAUAAAAAUGGGCACCUCUACUCUCCCCAUGACCUCUCUUUCCUUCUUCUUUCACAUUUAAGUCCUUGAUCCAUCUGAAAUGUAUUUAAUACAUGGAAUGAAGAAUAAAGAUUGGAGUUUGUUUUACCAAAUGGAUAAUUGUUUAUGCUAAUAUCACUUACUAAAUAAUUUAUCAUUUAAAUAUUUUAUUGUGGGUCCUUAAUGUUAACUCUUAAACGUCAGUACUGCUGUUGCUGUUUCACAGAUGAGGUAUCUGAGAUCAAGAUGAAUAAGUUAUUCAAGGUCACACAGCUAAAAACUUGAAAAGCCGGAAUCAGGUCAGGUUUGCAGGCUCCAUGCUCCACCCCCUCCCCUUCCCAACUGUAAACCACCUCAUCUAAUGUCAGAGCUCCAGGGGCCCGGGAGCUGCAUCUCCGGGAGAUGGCGAUUCGGGGAAGCUGCCAACAGCACGAGAGUUUGCGGGCUUAGAGUCCAGAGCUGCCGGAUGGGAGACGUUGUGUCCUUGUGGCACGGAGACAGCUAUCCUAAGCAUCUCAGCCCACACCAGGUUUGGCUUCACGUUGCACUAGCAAGAUUCUGUUGUCAAUUUCAAAGUCGUGUAUUGCUAUCUGAGAUGCACUGAUUAGAUUCAAAUGGGAAGACUUGGGAGAAAUAGGAAGAUUUCUGCUUAAGAGAGAGGAGAGAGGGAGUUGGCUGGUGGCUGGUACAUUCCUUCCCGUUAUCCCACACUUUUGUGGUGGGAAAAAGCUUGCGUUGCUGCGAGGUGAGAUGGAGGAAAAGCAGUUGGCUUGGCAGACAGACCAUGAGGGAUUCUCCACAACGGGGCCCAGUGGGAAAGGCCAGUUCCUCUCAUUACCCGUCACAUUCCACAGGGAAAUCAGCUGGAAAACGUGACAUCAUGUCCAGUCUCUGAGUCCUGAAUGAGUCUGUGGUUCCUGACCCAGGAGAAGAGCAUGUGCUGUUAAAUAGCAAAGUGCGGGUGUCAUAAUGCAGGGCUCUGGGACAUCCAGGGCCCUCUUCACACCGCUUCUCCUCGGAGCCCCUGGGAGCAAGUGACACAAGUGUGUAUGCGAAAACAUGCCAGAGUCUCCAGUGGACCCUGGACCUCAGGAGUCUGCAAUAUGGGAUUCACGGUGGAGCACGAUCUGUGAUAGUGGUGGAGACUGAGCACAGGGAGGGUGCACUGGAACGUUCCCUGGAGGUUAAGCCUUAGACGUCAGCAUCUGGCCCACGCUCAUUCCCAGGUGCAGAUGGAGCCAUGGAGGGUCUGGAGCUGUGGAGUGAAGGAUGCGGCUGUGCAGCCGGGUGCAGAGGGAGCCAUGGAAGGUCUGGAGCUGUGGAGUGAAGGAUGCGGCUGUGCAGCCGGGUGCAGAUGGAGCCAUGGAAGGUCUGGAGCUGUGGAGUGAAGGAUGCGGCUGUGCAGCCGGGUGCAGAUGGAGCCGUGGAAGGUCUGGAGCUGUGGAGUGAAGGAUGCGGCUGUGCAGCCGGGUGCAGAUGGAGCCGUGGAGGGUCUGGAGCUGUGGAGUGAAGGAUGCGGCUGUGCAGCCGGGUGCAGAUGGAGCCAUGGAAGGUCUGGAGCUGUGGAGUGAAGGAUGCAGCUGUGCAGCCAGGUGCAGAUGGGUUUGGGCUGGUGGGAGUGGAGGCUCAUUCGAGCUGAGAGGACAUUGAAAGAGGCUAUGGCCGAACUGCCCAUCCUCCAUUCGGUGAUGGAGACGUGGACUGUGUAAUGGGGACUGAGGGAAGGGCAGAAGCAGGUGCGCUGACACAGAAGUGACAACCCUGCAGGGCCCUCAACGCUCCCCAUUGCCUUCAGUGACCAGGCUCGAGCUCCGCCCUGCUGCACGUCUGCUCCCUGCCUCUCCCUCCAGCCUCACCUCUUUCCACCUCCACCCAUCUGUGUGCCUGAUGCUGAGCGUCUUG
ensembl:lncRNA